rnacentral:rRNA from 1 species
CAAAGAUUAAGCCAUGCAUGUCUAAGUAUAAACAAAUUUAUACAGUGAAACUGCGAAUGGCUCAUUAAAUCAGUUAUAAUUUAUUUGAUAUUCACUUACUACUUGGAUAACCGUGGUAAUUCUAGAGCUAAUACAUGCGUACAUAACCUCGACUUCUGGAAGAGGUGCACUUAUUAGAUAAAAAGCCAACGCGGGCAACCGCUUGUAUGGUGAUUCAUAAUAAUUAAGCGAAUCGCAUGGCCUUGUGCCGGCGAUGAUGCAUUCAAAUUUCUGCCCUAUCAAGUUUCGAUGGUAGGUUAGUGGCCUACCAUGCUUUUAACGGGUAACGGGGAAUUAGGGUUCGAUUCCGGAGAGGGAGCCUGAGAAACGGCUACCACAUCCAAGGAAGGCAGCAGGCGCGCAAAUUACCCAAUCCCGACACGGGGAGGUAGUGACAAUAAAUAACAAUACAGGGCCUUUACGGGUCUUGUAAUUGGAAUGAGUACAAUUUAAAUCCCUUAACGAGGAACAAUUGGAGGGCAAGUCUGGUGCCAGCAGCCGCGGUAAUUCCAGCUCCAAUAGCGUAUAUUAAAGUUGUUGCAGUUAAAAAGCUCGUAGUUGAAUUUUGGCCUUGGGCGGUUUGGUUUGGCCUUCAUUGGUCAAUGCCUUUUCCGCCUAGGUCUCACCUUCUGGGUUAGCUAGUGUUGCUUCGGUGGCGCUAGUGAACCAGAACUUUUACUUUGAAAAAAUUGGAGUGUUUAAAGCAGGCUUUCAAGCCUGAACAUAUUAGCAUGGAAUAAUGAAAUAGGACUUUGGCCUUAUUUCGUUGGUUUCUAAAGCCAAAGUAAUGAUGAAUAGGGAUAGUUGGGGACAUUAGUAUUCAAUUGUCAGAGGUGAAAUUCUUGGAUUUAUUGAAGACUAACUUCUGCGAAAGCAUUUGUCAAGGAUGUUUUCAUUAAUCAAGAACGAAAGUUAGGGGAUCGAAGACGAUCAGAUACCGUCGUAGUCUUAACCAUAAACUAUGCCGACUAAGGAUCGGAUGGUGUUAUAUUUUAUAUUGACCCAUUCGGCAUUUCAGCGAAAGCCAAGUUUUUGGGUUCCGGGGGGAGUAUGGUCGCAAGGCUGAAACUUAAAGG